UGGAGACUCAGCCCUGGGCACCUGGUCUGUGUCCACCUCAAUGCACAGUGACUGUUUCUGAACUGGCAGAUCUGGUCUGUGCAAGGUGCCUUUCUGGGCAGCAAGCCGGGGCGGCCACUGUUCGAGAAGCCUGCUCCUACCCUCGCCUGCGCCCCUGCUCCUCUGAAGGCGGCCUCCCGCAGUAGUCAGGGGGCGGAAAUGGGAAGCCCUAUUCGCACUAAAAUCAGGCUCCUGAUGGAAGGGGAAGGCCCCUAGUCCUGGCAGGAUCUGCCGGCCCCAACCCGCAUCCUCUCUGCGCAGGAACCAUGGCGCUUCCCCGACUCUGGAGCUGUCCAGGUGCUGCCUGGUGAUCCGCACGCGACGCGGCG
rnacentral:lncRNA from 1 species